CCUAGGUCGCUUAGUUGGUUAACCAUGUGACUCUUGAUUUCAGCUAUUGUCAUGAUCUCAGGGUCCUGGGAUCAAGCCCC